CAUUCCAUGUGUCCCUCACCGAAAGGUCUUACCAUCUUACAACUUGGUAGAUUUCAGCGCAGAGCCCAGAUUCCCCAAAGGAAGAUUUCACAGCGACUCCCUUGUUAGAAUUCCAGCAGCUCCUGAACUACAUUUGGAAGAGAGGCAUGCUGGUACCCAAGUGUGUGGAUCCACUUCCAGUACCAGCCUCCUGAGAAGUCCCACUCACAUUGCCAAGUUCCUGCUGGCAUUGCCAUGUGAGUGAAUGAAACCUCAGGAAACUUAGUGGAAGCACACUGCCGUCUUUAACCCAGAAGUCAUGGAUAUCUGUGCUCCUAAUCUUUACAAGAAGUGUCAUCAUUUGUCCAUUUGAGCGAGUCUUGAUGUGCAGUCCAGGCUGAUGUAUAACUUGGUAUAUAGAACAGACCGGCCUCAAUGUGAUGGCAAUCUUUCUGCCUUACCUCCUGAAUGCUGGGGACAGUGUGAGCUCCACACCAGCCUGCUUCCCUCUGUUGUUUGCCUCUGGUGUGCGUCAUCUUGACGAAGUCUGACUAUCAGUGUAUCUCCUUUAUCAGUUUCCAAGGAUCUUGUCAUCAAGAAUGGGGUGUUUUUCUGCUUAUUCACAUCCUCAGUCCAGGCCUUGACCUGAGCUUGGUAUCUGUUUGAAACGUGGCAAACUCUGGCAAAUUAAAACUUUGGUACCC
rnacentral:lncRNA from 1 species